UGCCCCGGUAGGGUAGAGGAUAUCCUUGGAGCCUCCGGAGCUUUAGACCUGGGUUCAAGUCCCAGCCGGGGCGU
rnacentral:tRNA from 1 species